rnacentral:SRP_RNA from 1 species
GGCCGGGCCCAGCGCAAGAUACAACAGUGAACCAGGUCAGGUCCGGAAGGAAGCAGCCUUAAGCGGAUACUUUCAUGUGCCGUGGGGGUGCUCGGGUUUG